UACGUAGGGGCCGAGCGUUGUCCGGAGUUACUGGGCGUAAAGCGCGCGCAGGCGGCUUCCCAAGCGCCACGUGAAAGCCCCGGGCUCAACCCGGGAGGGUCGCGGCGAACUGGGAGGCUUGAGGCCGGUAGAGGUGGGUGGAACUCCUGGUGGAGUGGUGAAAUGCGUAGAGAUCAGGAAGAACACCCGUGGCGAAGGCGGCCCACUGGGCCGGUGCUGACGCUGAGGCGCGAAGGCGUGGGGAGCGAACGGG
rnacentral:rRNA from 1 species